rnacentral:rRNA from 1 species
UACGUAGGGGGCAAGCGUUGUCCGGAAUCAUUGGGCUUAAAGCGCGUGUAGGCGGGUUCGUGCGUCUGUCGCUGAAAUCCCCCGGCUCAACCGGGGAACGGGCGCGGAUACGACGAGCCUGGAGGGGCAUAGGGGGACCUGGAACUUCCGGUGGAGCGGUGAAAUGCGUUGAGAUCGGAAGGAACGCCCGUGGCGAAAGCGAGGUCCUGGAUGCCUACUGACGCUGAGACGCGAAAGCCAGGGGAGCGAACGGG